rnacentral:rRNA from 1 species
UGAUUGGACGUGCUUGCACGGACUUGACGUUGGUUUACCAGCGAGUGGCGGACGGGUGAGUAACACGUAGGUAACCUGCCCCAAAGCGGGGGAUAACAUUUGGAAACAGAUGCUAAUACCGCAUAACAAUUUGAAUCGCAUGAUUCAAAUUUAAAAGAUGGUUUCGGCUAUCACUUUGGGAUGGACCUGCGGCGCAUUAGCUUGUUGGUAGGGUAACGGCCUACCAAGGCUGUGAUGCGUAGCCGAGUUGAGAGACUGAUCGGCCACAAUGGAACUGAGACACGGUCCAUACUCCUACGGGAGGCAGCAGUAGGGAAUCUUCCACAAUGGGCGCAAGCCUGAUGGAGCAACACCGCGUGAGUGAAGAAGGGUUUCGGCUCGUAAAGCUCUGUUGUUAGAGAAGAACGUGCGUGAGAGCAACUGUUCACGCAGUGACGGUAUCUAACCAGAAAGUCACGGCUAACUACGUGCCAGCAGCCGCGGUAAUACGUAGGUGGCAAGCGUUAUCCGGAUUUAUUGGGCGUAAAGCGAGCGCAGGCGGUUUGAUAAGUCUGAUGUGAAAGCCUUUGGCUUAACCAAAGAAGUGCAUCGGAGACUGUCAGACUUGAGUGCAGAAGAGGACAGUGGAAAUCCGAUGUGGU